rnacentral:rRNA from 1 species
AUUGAACGCUGGCGGCAUGCUUUACACAUGCAAGUCGAACGGCAGCGCGGGCUUCGGCCUGGCGGCGCGUGGCGAACGGGUGAGUAAUGCAUCGGAACGUGCCCAGUAGUGGGGGAUAGCCCGGCGAAAGCCGGAUUAAUACCGCAUACGACCUGAGGGUGCAAGCGGGGGACCCAAAGGCCUCGCGCUAUUGGAGCGGCCGAUGUCGGAUUAGCUAGUUGGUGGGGUAAAGGCUUACCUAGGCGACGAUCCGUAGCUGGUCUGAGAGGACGACCAGCCACACUGGGACUGAGACACGGCCCAGACUCCUACGGGAGGCAGCAGUGGGCAAUUUUGGACAAUGGGGGCAACCCUGAUCCAGCCAUGCCGCGUGCGGGAAGAAGGCCUUCGGGUUGUAAACCGCUUUUGUUGGGGAAGAAAUCCUCUGGGCUAAUACCCCGGGGGGAUGACGGUACCGGAAGAAUAAGCACCGGCUAACUACGUG